UACAGAGGUCUCAAGCGUUGUUCGGAUUCAUUGGGCGUAAAGGGUGCGUAGGCGGCGCGGUAAGUCGGGUGUGAAAUUUCGAGGCUUAACUUCGAAACUGCAUUCGAUACUGCCGUGCUAGAGGACUGGAGAGGAGACUGGAAUUUACGGUGUAGCGGUGAAAUGCGUAGAUAUCGUAAGGAAGACUAGUGGCGAAGGCGGGUCUCUGGACAGUUCCUGACGCUGAGGCACGAAGGUCAGGGGAGCAAACGGG
rnacentral:rRNA from 1 species